rnacentral:rRNA from 1 species
GACGAACGCUGGCGGCGUGCUUAACACAUGCAAGUCGAACGGAAAGGCCCUGCUUGCCGGGUGCUCGAGUGGCGAACGGGUGAGUAACACGUGGGUGAUCUGCCCCUUAUUUUGGGAUAAGCCUGGGAAACUGGGUCUAAUACUGGAUAGGACCAUGCUGUAGGUGGUGUGGUGGAAAGAUUAGUUUCGGUAAGGGAUGAGCUCGCGGCCUAUCAGCUUGUUGGUGGGGUAAUGGCCUACCAAGGCGUCGACGGGUAGCCGGCCUGAGAGGGUGGACGGCCACAUUGGGACUGAGAUACGGCCCAGACUCCUACGGGAGGCAGCAGUGGGGAAUAUUGCACAAUGGGCGCAAGCCUGAUGCAGCGACGCCGCGUGGGGGAUGACGGCCUUCGGGUUGUAAACUCCUUUCAGCCAUGACGAAGCCCUUGUGGUGACGGUAGUGGUAGAAGAAGCACCGGCUAACUACGUG